rnacentral:rRNA from 1 species
UACGUAGGGUGCAAGCGUUAAUCGGAAUUACUGGGCGUAAAACGUGCGCAGGCGGUGAUGUAAGACAGAUGUGAAAUCCCCGGGCUCAACCCGGGAACUGCGUCCGAGACUGGCAGGCUCGAAUCCGGGAGAGGGAUGUGGAAUUCCAGGUGUAGCGGUGAAAUGCGUAGAUAUCUGGAGGAAUACCGGUGGCGAAGGCGGCAUCCUGGACCAUUACUGACGCUGAGGCGCGAAAGCUAGGGGAGCAAACGGG